CGAUAACUGGAAAUCAGCGGAAGUGCUGGUCCUGUGUUUGCCCGUGCAUUUACAGAUACGCGCCACUACGGUGUUGUUGUUUCCUAUGAUAGGAUAUUAUCUGCCAAGGCAUAUUGGAUCGACAUAGUGUGUUUGUGCCAUAUAUGUUGAAAAGGUCAAAUACUGGGAUAAGACAGAUUUAUGUCAAGUUGGUGAAGAAGAUCAAGAUAUUUAUGAACUAACAGAAUCGGAAAUUUUAGCUGAUAUAAAAGAAGGAAAUCUUUCCUUCACAGACUCAGAAACACCAAAACCUUCAUCAGUGCUGGAUCAUUCCUACUCGUUACAAACCUAAGUAUUAAUUAGAAUUUAAUUAACAAACAUGUCGGAAAACAAACUUAGAAAGUUUAUAUCUAAAAGCUCUGAGCUGCCAACAGGUCACAGAAACUGUGUACCAGUUGUGCUCUCAGAUAGUAAGGGCAACUGGCUGAAAAGAGUUGUAUUACACAAUACUGAAAAAGAAAUUUUAUGGUGGUCUAAAAGUGGGGCAAAAAUUGAAGAUAGCAUGGAGUGGUUGAAAAAAAAUAUAGAAGAAAAGAUUAAACGCCAUGGCAACAUAUGGUUGUAUGUUUGGUUAGGCACUUGUAACUUAACUUCUAAAAAUAAACAGUACAUAUCUCUUACAUCUGAUAAUGGGGAUGAAAUUGAUAAAAUUAUUUUUAAAUGCAGAGAAAUUAUAGAAUUUGUUAAUAAUUAUUCUGGCUGUAAAGUAACAAUAUUAGAAACUCCAGUAUAUUCAAUUAAAGAAUGGAACAAAUCAAGAGGACACAAAGACCCCAACCUUUUUGAAACUGAUGAUAAAAAAUUAGGAGAACAAAUUUAUAUGUUAAAUAAUAGAAUUAGAGAUUUAAAUAAAACUCAAGGAGUAUACUCCCCCAACUUUUCUUCAGACUUAAGUGCCAGUGAUAAAUAUCGCUGUGGUAAAAAUAGAAAAUUAAAGACAAAAAAAUAUUAUAAUUUUAAACUUUAUAAAGAUGGGAUUCAUCCUAACACUCUGUUAGCAAAGUGCUGGUUAAAAAAAGUUUCUGGACAGGCUAAAAGAGAUUGUUGGUCUUAGAUUUUAAACAAUGAUUAUUUCAUGAUAAAUUCAUCUUAGUUCAUUUAAUACAAAAUACUGUAAAUAUGUCAGUGUAUAAAUAUGCAAAUA